rnacentral:rRNA from 1 species
UACGAAGGGUGCAAGCGUUACUCGGAAUUACUGGGCGUAAAGCGUGCGUAGGUGGUUUGUUAAGUCUGAUGUGAAAGCCCUGGGCUCAACCUGGGAAUUGCAUUGGAUACUGGCAGGCUAGAGUGCGGUAGAGGAUGGCGGAAUUCCCGGUGUAGCAGUGAAAUGCGUAGAGAUCGGGAGGAACAUCUGUGGCGAAGGCGGCCAUCUGGACCAGCACUGACACUGAGGCACGAAAGCGUGGGGAGCAAGCAGG